rnacentral:rRNA from 1 species
AGUGAACGCUGGCGGUAGGCCUAACACAUGCAAGUCGAACGGCAGCACAGUAAGAGCUUGCUCUUACGGGUGGCGAGUGGCGGACGGGUGAGGAAUACAUCGGAAUCUACUUUUUCGUGGGGGAUAACGUAGGGAAACUUACGCUAAUACCGCAUACGACCUACGGGUGAAAGCAGGGGAUCUUCGGACCUUGCGCGAUUGAAUGAGCCGAUGUCGGAUUAGCUAGUUGGCGGGGUAAAGGCCCACCAAGGCGACGAUCCGUAGCUGGUCUGAGAGGAUGAUCAGCCAUACUGGAACUGAGACACGGUCCAGACUCCUACGGGAGGCAGCAGUGGGGAAUAUUGGACAAUGGGCGCAAGCCUGAUCUAGCCAUACCGCGUGGGUGAAGAAGGCCUUCGGGUUGUAAAGCCCUUUUGUUGGGAAAGAAAAGCAGCAGGUUAAUACCCCGCUGUUCUGACGGUACCCAAAGAAUAAGCACCGGCUAACUUCGUG